UUAUAAAACCCCCACACUCCGUUCUGAUCUGCUCUGGACGUGGUGUACGGAUCUCUUUAUUUCUUCUGCGAGCCCAAAAGAACAUUCUAUUUGGUACGCGAUUCGGAGAAAAUCAUCAAAUAUUUGUGGACACAGUUUCAAGUCGGAGAGCAUUUCGAGUAACAAUUUUCAAGAUGAAGGAAAAUAUGAGGAAACUGUAAGAUAAGGUUUAAUCUAAAUGCAGUUUUAUGGUUUCUUCAACUUAUUGUUUUAUUCUUUCCCAAGUCGUAUCCAAGGUUUUCGAUUCUUUUAUUACACGAAUCUAUUUCGAGGCUCAUUCAACCUUGGAGAAAAUUGAUUCAACAAGCAGUCGACUAUCACUUUUCUCACAAUGAUAUUUACUUUAUGUGGUCAUGGCUUCUGCAACUGCUUAUGUGUUGAAUCAAGAUCUUAAAUAAUUCAUUACUAAGUAUUUCACAUCAUCUAACAUCUAGAUAUCGACAGACAUUUGAGCAUAAUUAUUGUAUUAUCGACAGACAUUUGACAUCAUCUAACAUCAUUAUUGUAUUAUUUAUUUGUAUCA